ACGGGAGGCAGCAGUGGGGGAUAUUGCACAAUGGGGGAAACCCUGAUGCAGCGACGCCGCGUGAGUGAAGAAGUAUUUCGGUAUGUAAAGCUCUAUCAGCAGGGAAGAAAAUGACGGUACCUGACUAAGAAGCUCCGGCUAAAUACGUGCCAGCAGCCGCGGUAAUACGUAUGGAGCAAGCGUUAUCCGGAUUUACUGGGUGUAAAGGGAGCGUAGACGGCGAGGCAAGUCUGAUGUGAAAGCCAUGGGCUCAACCCAUGAACUGCAUUGGAAACUGUUUUGCUUGAGUGUCGGAGAGGUAAGCGGAAUUCCUAGUGUAGCGGUGAAAUGCGUAGAUAUUAGGAGGAACACCAGUGGCGAAGGCGGCUUACUGGACGAUAACUGACGUUGAGGCUCGAAAGCGUGGGGAGCAAACAGGAUUAGAUACCCUGGUA
rnacentral:rRNA from 1 species